UGGGGAAUUUUGGACAAUGGGGGAAACCCUGAUCCAGCCAUCCCGCGUGUGCGAUGAAGGCCUUCGGGUUGUAAAGCACUUUUGGCAGGAAAGAAACGUCAUGGGUUAAUACCCCGUGAAACUGACGGUACCUGCAGAAUAAGCACCGGCUAACUACGUGCCAGCAGCCGCGGUAAUACGUAGGGUGCAAGCGUUAAUCGGAAUUACUGGGCGUAAAGCGUGCGCAGGCGGUUCGGAAAGAAAGAUGUGAAAUCCCAGAGCUCAACUUUGGAAGUGCAUUUUUAACUACCAGGCUAGAGUGUGUCAGAGGGAGGUGGAAUUCCGCGUGUAGCAGUGAAAUGCGUAGAUAUGCGGAGGAACACCGAUGGCGAAGGCAGCCUCCUGGGAUAACACUGACGCUCAUGCACGAAAGCGUGGGGAGCAAACAGG
rnacentral:rRNA from 1 species